rnacentral:rRNA from 1 species
AUACGGAGGGUGCAAGCGUUGUUCGGAAUCACUGGGCGUAAAGGGCGCGCAGGCGGUUUGGUAAGUCAGAUGUGAAAGCCCACGGCUCAACCGUGGAAGUGCAUUUGAAACUGUCAGACUUGAGUACUAGAGGGGAAAGUGGAAUUCCCGGUGUAGAGGUGAAAUUCGUAGAUAUCGGGAGGAAUACCGGUGGCGAAGGCGACUUUCUGGCUUGAUACUGACGCUGAGGCGCGAAAGCGUGGGGAGCGAACAGGAUUAGAAACCCUAGUAGUCC